rnacentral:rRNA from 1 species
UACGAAGGGGGCUAGCGUUGCUCGGAAUUACUGGGCGUAAAGCGCGUGUAGGCGGCCAGGCAAGUUGGGUGUGAAAGCCCUCGGCUUAACCGAGGAAGUGCGCCCAAAACUACUUGGCUUGAGUACCGGAGAGGGUGGCGGAAUUCCCGGUGUAGAGGUGAAAUUCGUAGAUAUCGGGAGGAACACCAGUGGCGAAGGCGGCUUACUGGACAGGUCCGUGACACUGAGACGCGAAAGCGUGGGUAGCAAACAGG